UACGUAGGUGGCAAGCGUUGUCCGGAUUUACUGGGCGUAAAGAGCGCGCAGGCGGUUGAUUAAGUCGAAUGUGAAAGCCCCCGGCUCAACUGGGGAGGGUCAUUCGAUACUGAUCGACUUGAAGGCAGGAGAGGGUAGUGGAAUUCCCGGUGUAGUGGUGAAAUGCGUAGAUAUCGUAAGGAAGACCAGUGGCGAAGGCGAAUCUCUGGACAGUUACUGACACUGAGGCACGAAGGCCAGGGGAGCAAACGGG
rnacentral:rRNA from 1 species